AUGCUAGCCCUGGCCCGGACGGUUUUGGCCCUGGGUUCUACAGAAAAUUUUGGCAUAUUCUCAAAGAAAAAAUCCGCAAUUUCUUCGCUGAUUUCCACGCCCUGCGUUCGGACCUAUCCUGCCUCAACUGCGCCCCCAAAUGACUUUCGCCCCAUCUCCCUUCAAAAUUGCCCUAUCAAAGGUGUUGCUAAACUCCUUACCAACAGACUGAAAGCGCAUAUCCCUCUUCUGGUCCACGCCGACCAAACUGGCUUCCUGUCUGGUCGCAAUAUCUCCGAAAACUUCCUCUACGCCGCUGACAUUCUUCACUGCUGCGCCAAGAAAAAGGCUCCAGCCAUUGUCGUCAAGCUGGACUUUCGGAAAGCGUUUGACUCAAUCUGUUGGUCCUCCCUCCUCCACACCCUACAGGUUAGGGGCUUCCCACCUCGCUGGUGUGCCUGGAUCCGAUCUCUGCUUACCACUGGAUCCACCGCUGUUAUGCUUAAUGGCAUCCCAGGUAAGUGGAUCCAAUGCAAGAACGGACUCCGGCAAGGUGACCCCCUAUCUCCUUAUCUGUUCAUUAUUAUGGCCGAUAUUCUACAGCAAAUGAUCAUUAACGCUCAUAAGGAUGGUACGCUUUUACACCCCUUGUGUCCCCACCUCCCGUGCCCUGUUCUGCAAUAUGCGGAUAACACUCUUAUCAUAGUUAAAGCCACCACGACUCCUGCCAAGCACCUCAAACACAUUCUAGACACCUUUGCCGCAGCCACUGGUCUUCAAAUCAACUUCACCAAAACGACUUUCAUCCCCCUUAACGUGGAUCCGCAGGAGGCCGCUCUUAUGGCCUCUGACCUUAGAACGACCAUCUCUUCCUUUCCUCAAACCUACCUAGGUCUACCCCUCUCCCCGCAUAAGCUGCCGCCCUCUGCCUUUCAGCCGGUCAUCGAUCGAUGCGACACCUAUCUGGCUGGCUGGUGUGCCCUACUCCUCUCGCGUGGAGGCAAAUUAGUUCUCCUCUCUGCCGUCCUAGACAGUCUCCCCACGUAUUUUAUGCUCUGUUUUUCUCUGCCCGUCCAGGUUAUUGAAGCAAUAGAUAAACGUAGACGCUCCUUCUUCUGGUCCAACGAUGAUACCUGCUCGGGGGCUAAAUGCUUGGUGGCUUGGGAUAAAGUGUGCACUCCUAGAGAUGCAGGUGGUUUGGGUGUUAAAAACCUUCGCGCACAAAAUUUUUAUUUACUGCUGAAAUUUGCCUACAAAUUUUUACAUUCCUCCUCCCUCCCUUGGAAGGAUUGGGUUUUGCAUCACUCACCGCUCCACAUUGGCUUUGGCAAGAACAACUCCUUUCUUGCCAAGACUAUUUUCAAACACCUACAGAGCUUGAGAGAGAUUUCCCAGUGCACUGUUGGAGAUGGUUGCUCCACCUUCUUCUGGUUAGACCGAUGGCUAAAGCCAGAACCUCUGGCUAUAGUCUACCCAGCCCUAUUUUCCCACCAUACAAAACAAAAUGCCUUGGUAGUUACAAUUAUGCAGGAGGGGUCGAACUUGCUCUUCGUAAUUGGCUAA
rnacentral:rRNA from 1 species